rnacentral:rRNA from 1 species
GUACACGCUGUGACUAGCAUAUCAAUAAGCGGAGGAAAAGAAACUAACAAGGAUUCCUUAGUAACGGCGAGUGAAGCGGGAAGAGCUCAAAUUUGAAAUCUUCAAGGUUCUACCUUGACGAAUUGUAGUUUAAAGAAGUGUUUUCUGCUGAAGUUUUGGUAAAAGUUCUUUGGAAUAGGACAUCAUAGAGGGUGAGAAUCCCGUAUUUGACCAUUAUUUUCAGCUUUGUGAUACACUUUCAAAGAGUCGGAUUGUUUGGGAAUGCAGUCCAAAAUGGGUGGUAAAUUUCAUCUAAAGCUAAAUAUUGGCGAGAGACCGAUAGCGAACAAGUACCGUGAGGGAAAGAUGAAAAGAACUUUGAAAAGAGAGUUAAACAGUACGUGAAAUUGUUCAAAAGGGAAGCGUUUGACACCAGUGUUGUUUUCUCGAAAAUCAAUUAAAAAUGGCUCGAUUUGUAUUGCUGAGACCUUAAAAGCUCACUGUACAUUUUUCGUGUCUUUUUUAAUGCACUUUUCGUUUAACAAGUCAACAUCAGUUUCUUUGUUGUAAAAGGGUCAUUGGAAGGUGGCUUUCUUUUCGGAGAAAGUGUUUAUAGCCUUUGGCCUCUGCAAUCGAAGAGACUGAGGUCUGCAGCGUAGACUCUUCGGGGUUAGAUACAUUUGUGCUAAGUUAUAGCUUUUUAUAGACAACUUGUUGACUAUAAUUAGUCUUGUAGCUUACUCGCUUAUGCUAUUUUACCUACGCUUAGGAUGUUGAUCUACAGAGCGAGAGU